rnacentral:rRNA from 1 species
AAUGAACGCUGGCGGCAGGCUUAACACAUGCAAGUCGAGCGGAGCGGAGGACGGGUGAGUAAUUCCUAGGAAUCUGCCUGGUAGUGGGGGAUCACGUCCGGAAACGGGGGAUAAUAUCGCAUAUUAUCAGAUGAACCUAGGUCGGAUUAGCUAGUAGGUGGGGUAAAGGCCUACCAAGGCGACGAUCCGGAACAGGUCUGAGAGGAGGAUCAGUCACACGGGAACUGAGACACGGUCCAAACUCCUACGGGAGGCAGCAGUGGGGAAUUUUGGACAAUGGGCGAAAGCCUGAGCGAGCAAUGCCGCGUGUGUGAAGAAGGUCUUCGGAUUGUAAAGCACUUUAAGUUGGGAGGCGUUACCAACAGAGUAAGCACCGGCUAACUUCGUGCCAGCAGCCGCGGUAAUAC